CAGCAGCCGCGGGAAUACAGAGGGUGCGAGCGUUAAUCGGAUUUACUGGGCGUAAAGCGUGCGUAGGCGGCUUUUUAAGUCGGAUGUGAAAUCCCUGAGCUUAACUUAGGAAUUGCAUUCGAUACUGGGAAGCUAGAGUAUGGGAGAGGAUGGUAGAAUUCCAGGUGUAGCGGUGAAAUGCGUAGAGAUCUGGAGGAAUACCGAUGGCGAAGGCAGCCAUUUGGCCUAAUACUGACGCUGAGGUACGAAAGCAUGGGGAGCAAACAGGAUUAGAUACCCGAGUAGUCCCUGUCUCUUAUAC
rnacentral:rRNA from 1 species